UCCCCGCCCUGAUCCCCACCCACUUAAAUGACUCACUUCAAUGUUAAUAACCCCCUUAAUAACACACAUAAUAAACCACACCAUUUUUUCCCCCUAUUUUUCCAGACAGAAUGGGAGACACGAAAGGAAGACAAAGUACCGCAGGAAUAACUGAAGGAGAAAUGAAAUAAGACUGAAGGAAAGAAGCAGAGAUUAUUACUCGUACCUUUUGCAUCAUGAAUUAGCUAGCAAACCCCAAGCAAAGAGAACUUUAGUUUGGAACCCCGAAACUAAGUGAGCUACUCCAAGACAGCCUAAAUAGGGCAAACCCGUCUCUGUGGCAAAAGAGUGGAAAGAGCUUCGAGUAGAGGUGACAGACCUACCGAACUUAGUUAUAGCUGGUUGCCUAAGAACUGGAUAGAAGUUCAGCCUCUUGAUUUCUCUGGUCCAACCAGGCAAAACCCCCUCCCGACCAAAAGAAAGUCAAAAGAGUUAGUCGAGGGGGGUACAGCCCCCUCGAAACAAGACACAACUUUAUAUAGAAGGUAAAGGAUUAUAACACCCCAGGCGAUGUGCCCAAGUGGGCCUAAAAGCAGCCACCAAAAUAGAAAGCGUUAAAGCUCAAACAUAAAACUACCCAUUAUCACAACGACUAAAUCCUAAACCACUUAAACUAUUAGGCCACUCCAUGCCCACAUGGAAGAGACCCUGCUAACAUGAGUAAUAAGAGAACUAAGCCUCUCUCCUGGCACCAGUGUACAUCAGAACGAACCCCCACUGAAAAUUAACGUCCCCAACCAAAGAGGGCACUGAGGAAUAUACAACCUAAAGCUAGAAAAACCCCCAAAACUAAGCGUUAACCCCACACAGGUGUGCCCCAGGAAAGACUAAAAGGAAAAGAAGGAACUCGGCAAACACUAGCCUCGCCUGUUUACCAAAAACAUCGCCUCUUGCAUCAAUGGUAUAAGAGGUCCCGCCUGCCCUGUGACUCUAAGUUUAACGGCCGCGGUAUUUUGACCGUGCGAAGGUAGCGCAAUCACUUGUCUUUUAAAUGAAGACCCGUAUGAAUGGCAUAACGAGGGCUAAGCUGUCUCCUUUUCCUAGUCAAUGAAAUUGAUCUGCCCGUGCAGAAGCGGGCAUAUACUCGUAAGACGAGAAGACCCUAUGGAGCUUACAGACACUAGAACAGCACACGUAAUACAACCAUAAUUAAAGGAUAAAUCAAGUGCCCACUGUUCCCCUGUCUUUGGUUGGGGCGACCGCGGGGAAACAACAAACCCCCACGUGGAAUAGGGAAACCUCCCUUAAAAUCAGAGCCCCAGCUCUAACAAACAGAACCUCUGACCAACAAGAUCCGGCAUGCCGAUCAACGGACCGAGUUACCCUAGGGAUAACAGCGCAAUCCCCUUCUAGAGCCCAUAUCGACAAGAGGGUUUACGACCUCGAUGUUGGAUCAGGACAUCCUAAUGGUGCAGCCGCUAUUAAGGGUUCGUUUGUUCAACGAUUAAAGUCCUACGUGAUCUGAGUUCAGACCGGAGAAAUCCAGGUCAGUUUCUAUCUACGUAAUGUUCUUUUCUAGUACGAAAGGACCGAGAAGAAGAGGCCCAUGCUGAAAGCAAGCCUCCCCCCAACCUACUGAUAAAAACUAAAGUAGGUAAGGGGGCAUAUUACCGUGUCUGAGAAAAUGACAU
rnacentral:rRNA from 1 species